UUCACACAUGCUUUUAACGUAGGCGCACUUCGAGCGACGCCUACAGGAUGCUAAUGAACAAAUGUAUCCCUUGUGUUGGGCGGUUGUUGAAGGUGAAACAAAUGACUCGUGGAGAUGGUUCUUUGCUGAGUUAAGGAAGGUUUUAGAUGAUACCGAUGGGACAAGUAUGACUUUUAUCUCUGAUGAAGCACAGGCCGUUUUAAAUGGAGUAGCAAAUGUGUUCCCAAAGGCAGAGCAUAGAGAUUGUGCUAGGCAUGUCUUUGCUUAUUGGCACAAUGGUUUUAAAGGUGAUGAGAUGAAAAUGUUGUUCUGGAAUGUGGCUAAAGCAUAUAAUAAGGCAGAUUACGAAAAUGCACUUGCUCAAAUGGAGAAGGUAAGUCCUGCAGCUGUUGAUGCUUUCAAGUCAUACAAUCCUGAAUGUUUUUGCAGAGCAUUUGUAAAAAAAGACACACGAUGUGAUGUUAUUGUCAACAAUAUGGCAGAGACCUUCAAUGGUUAUAUCAUUAAUGCUAGGACAAAACAUCUUAUUUUUAUGCUAGAAGAUAUUAGAUCUGCAUUAAUGCAAAGACUUGUUUUGAAAAAACAAGAAAUAGAGAAAAUCAGAGAUGAAAUAUGCCCUAGAGUUAGGAUUAAGUUGAACAAAGAGAAGGCAUUAGCUGCUGAGUGUACUAUAAUUCCUUCAACAAUCACUCUAUUUCAAGUGUCCUACAAGUUAGACACAGUUACAGUAGACUUGGUUAACAAAUCUUGUACUUGUGGGAAAUGGGAUUUGUUAGGGGUGCCGUGUUGUCAUGCUUGUGCUUGCAUUUUUUUCAUUCACGAGGAGCCAGAGAAAUAUGUGGAUGCAUGUUACAAAACAGAAACCUACUUGAAAAUUUAUUCAGCAUCAAUCCCGCCUUGUGUGGGGGAAAGAUAUUGGCCUAAAGUUGAUCUCCCAAUUGACCCUCCUCCAAUUAAGAUUGGUCCUGGUAGACCAAGAAGGAAUAGAAGAAAAACACCACAUGAGCAUCCUAAAAUUCUUGGAAAAUUGACUAGACAUGGGGUAGAAAUGAGUUGUAGCGUUUGUAAAUCAAAAGAGCACAACAAAAGAAGGUGUCCAGACAAAGACAAAGGCACUCAAAUUCCACCUCAGCCAAAAAGAAAGAGAGGAAGACCAAGGGCUAUGGUAGUACAACAUAGCAGGGAUGACAAUGGUGAAUCAACCCAGAACAUGCAUCACCAACAAACUGCUGAACCAUCUACAAUUGGUAGGAAUGGGAGGGAUAGUCAUAAGAGGAAGGGGUAGAGGAAGUAGAGGAGGUGGGAGGAGUGGGAGUGUUGAUGGUGGCAGGAGCGGAAGGACUGCUGGCAGGGGUGGACGGGCUGGUGGCAGGGGUGAACGGGCUAGUGGCAGAAGAAAUGGCAGUAGAGCUAGUAGGACUACUCAUCAGAUCCCAAGAGGCGUGGGGGUGCUAUUUGAUGAUGGUGGCAAUGUUCUACAAACUGGAAGCAAUUGACUUAUUGGAUUUUUUUAUUUAUUUAUUUUUUUUACAAUCAUGUACUAGAAGUAAAUGAUCAAGUUUUUGGCAUGUUACGUUGGUUUUUACAAUGCUAGUGAUUGUAAUAUUUAUGAAACAAGAUACUUGGUACUUUUUUUUAACAACUUUGUGCUGCAAUGAUUUUGAUUGUUAAUUAAAAUCGUGAUUGAUUUUUCCUUAAUCAACUUAAUUUCAUCAUAUGCUACAUAAUACAACCAAUAUGUUUUUUCAUAAACAAAAUAAAGUUGCGUUAAAAAAAAACACAAAUAGUUGUUUAAAAGUAGUACAUCACAACAAAUAGAAAACGAAAAUAUUGAUAUACAGAAAGAGCAAAAUCAGUAAGAGUAAUUAACA